rnacentral:lncRNA from 1 species
AAUUCAAUGCUUACUGAGGUCUUGCUGGGUAUGAGGCAUUAUCUUACAGACUCAGAGGUAUACAGAUUUGGUCUUUACCUUCAAGGCACUUAGAGUCCAGUAAGACAGAAAAGAAUAGAUAAUUUCCUAACAUAAACAUAAAGGUAUGCACAGGAUGCUGUGGGAACACAGUGUGGGGAGCUGGAAGUAGGUUGCCAACUGGGACAAAAAAGGCUUCUUGGGAGAAAUGAAACUUAAGAUGAAUCUUGAAGAUUGAGAGGGAGUUAACCAGUCACGAACAAAGGAACAGAAGCUUUGUAUAUGCAACCUGAAAUGUUUGGCGAUUUAUGAAUAAUCCUGCAUUCUGGGGAGAUCAAGAGUGUGUGUGUGUGUGUGUGUGAGUGUGUGUUUGUAUGUAUGUGUGUGUGCGUGUGUAUGUGUGUCUGUUGGAAGGAAGGGUCGGAGAGAAUGACGACAAGAGUAAUUAAAUUCAAAGCAAUCAAGGGAGAAGGGAGGAAGUUUCAAGGAAAUAACAGUGGGCAGGAUAAGUGGAAGACAACCCCAGUAAGUUAUGUCUGAAAGUGUCCAUUUGACUCAGCAUCAAAGAGGAGGAACCUGGCAGUAGCCAUUUCAGUGGCAUCUAUGGGGUUGGAAAUGGACUGAAGAUGAGUGAAGAGCAAGUGGGAGGUUUGGAAGUAAGAGAUAGUUUAUGAUGACUAAAAAAAGCCAAUGACAAGAGUUUUUGCCGUUCUUUCUCUGAAUAUUUGAAAGUGAUCUAGGUGUAAGUCAGUGGUUUGCAAGUCUUUUCAUGAAGCCUACUUACUGUAUUUUUAGCGACAGCAGCUAAUCUGAAGUGGUAGAUUGUUUACAAAUAUAGGGGCAGUGAUUGUCCUAUACUUUUCUGCAGGCCCCACACUGUGUGACUUUGCCAUUCCAUCCAUUAAGUAGUGGAAUCUAUUUCUCCUUCGUGACUCUGCACUGGCCUUGUGAUUUGCUUUGUCUGGCAGAAGGCAACAGAAGCAACAUUGUGUGGUAUUUUACCUAGGCCGACAAAGGCCUUGUAGCUUCCACUUUAUUGUUCUCCCAGCUUCAUUGAGAUAUGAUUGACAGAUAAAAAUUGUAUUUAUUUUAGGUGUACAAUGUGAUGUUUUGAUAUGGAGAACAGUGUGAAAUGAUUACCACAGUCAAGCUAAUUAGCAUAUCUAGCAAGACCAGCAAAACUGCUCAGCUAAGCCCAUUCCAAAUUGCUGACCCACAGAAUUAUGAGCAAAUAAAAUGGUUCUUAUUUUAGGCUACUGAAUUUUGAGUAACUUGUUACAUGGCAAAACAUAACUUUUAAAACUGCUUAUUUUAAAAAUGUAUUUUCUUGUAGUCUGUGUCUAUUCAUAAGGCAUUUCAUCAUGAAGGGCUAAGUAUCGUGAGUAAAUGUGAAGAGCUGUUUCCAUACCCCACUUUCUAGAUUAUUCAUCAAAAUAUUAAAUCAGGCCAGGUGUGGUGGCUCACACCUAUAAUCCCAGCACUUUGGGAGGCCGAGGCAGGCGGAUCGCUUGAGGCCAGGAGUUUGAGACCAGCUUGGCUAACAUGGCG